rnacentral:rRNA from 1 species
AAACUUUCAACAACGGAUCUCUUGGCUCUGGCAUCGAUGAAGAACGCAGCGAAAUGCGAUAAGUAAUGUGAAUUGCAGAAUUCAGUGAAUCAUCGAAUCUUUGAACGCACAUUGCGCCCGCCAGUAUUCUGGCGGGCAUGCCUGUCGAGCGUCAUUA